UUCUAUUUAUUCUCUCUGCCUGCCAGCCCCGCCUAUCUUUCUCCUGCCUAGCUAUUGGAUGUUCAGCUCUUUGUUAGACCAAUCAGGUGUUUUAGGCAGACAAAGUAACACAGCUCCACAGAGUUAAACAAAUGUAACAUAAAAGAAUGCAACACAUCUUUGCAUCACUAAACAAAUAUUCCACAGCAUAAACAAAUGUAACAUUUUUAACUAAUAUUCUACAACAAUGGCCUCUGCAAGGUAGUACAGUGCUCCAGCCACAAACCCUGACCAUGCACACAAACAUUCUUCUUUCCCCACUUGUGCUGGAGAUUGAAGCUGGAGCCUCACACGUGGCAGGCAAGCACUCUACCUCCAAGCUGUCUCCAGUGCUAUUGCUACAUGGGGUUUUGUUUUUUCAUCAAUCUCCUCUCUCGCUCUGAGCUUUUCAUCUCUGCGUUUGUGACGCUUAAGCUAGCACUUCUGCUGUGGGAGAGUAGACGUUCUUGUCACUGGGGACUCCCUGCUCAAUAAGCUUUUGUGAAGAACAAGGGGGAGGCAGUCUAUGUAAGUUUGUACUGGUGUCUAGCACUUGGUCAACUAUAAAUGAAAGGCAACAACAAAAACAUCAAGUCCACAAGGAUUAAAUCUCUUCGUGUUAAGAAAACACUAACAACAUAGUCUGCUGGAAUUCCUACAAAGUUCUUUCUAACCUAAGGCUAAAAGCAAAUUCUUACCCUGAAAAAGUAUCACCUCAGGUGGAAUGAUUGCAUCCGAGAGCCAAGAGGACAGUGAAGCUAACCUGGUGAGCUUUAGCUGGAGUAUUGUCUGGAGAUGCAGGUGACUUUCGGGGGGGUGUGGUUUAAGCCACUGCGUGUCUCCAGGUAGUAGACUCGCUCCAAGGCAGACAGCACAGUCCCCAGUAUGGUAGGGGAGGUGCCAUGUGGAACUUACUAUCCAGCUAUAAGUUAAAGAUUAUAAGAGAAACUCUGAAUUUGGUUUCUUGUUUUGAAUUUCACAGACAUCAAUUUGAAUGAGCUGACACAAAAUGAUGGUAAUUUAUAAAGAUAAGAGGGUUCUGUUGUUACUGUUUUUUGUUUUUGUCUUGUGGAUCCAAGUCUAGGGAUGGAAGCCCUCCAGGUACACUGGCUUUGCCUCUGCGUCUCUCUGCUCCUCUGUUUCAUUGUUUCCUGGCUGUGCAGGGAGGUGGAUGGCCUGAAAAGAGACUUUGGUGUGUUAUCGGUGUAAAUCAAAGCCCGAGGCCACUUUCUUGGAGAAGGCGCUGGCUCACAGCGUGUUCUGCUCCCAUCUGCUCCCUCCGUUGCUGAAGAACAGACUGAAGAUAAUCAUCUAACCGACAAACACGGCGUGCAGACUCUGAUGGUCAUUAGCUAGGAAAGUGUUCCCUGAAUUUCACUUGCUUUCUCAUCCCUCCCGUGCUGGCCUUGGAACAAACAGGUCGGUGGUGUAGCAGCAAGAGGUCCCCUGCUGCCAGAAGGAAACAAGGACUAAGGAGACACUUUGGACUCCUUAAUUUCCAGGCCACUUGAUAGCGGCCACAGUUCAUUACCCAGGAAAAUUGCUUGAUCUCUGGGAAAAGGGUGCUGGAGGUGAGGGAGAAUGAGUUUGCCACCAACACAGUUCACCUGGCAACUCAGUCAUUUGGAUCUAACUAGAGAGUGAUUGCAGCCAUGUUCCCGACGAGGCUGAAAGCUGCUUCCUGCAGUAAGUUGGUGAUCGUGUGUGUCCUGUGUCUAGAGUGGAGGGGGGUGAGGGAAGCAAAGGAAGACCCUCUCCCCUCUGCCGCUCCCAUCUGCUCUUCAUUUCAUAACAACGGAUCCUGUCUUUAAUUCUGUUGGAAUUGAUAAACAGUCACACCCAGAAUAAGAUUUCAAAGCACAGUGUAUAACUAUUCAGAUAAAAAUAGGAACAGAGACACUUUAUUGAGUAAGGGCUAUACGUUUGUUUCCAUACAUGUUCUCAUGCUAUACAAAACUUUAGGACUGUGGUGUAGCUCAGUGGUGGGGUACUUACUUAGCAUGCAGAAGACCCUAGGUUCAAUCCCACAGCACCACCAAAAUUUUUUGAAUGAGUACUCUUAACUCUUGUUUAAUUGGACAGUGUCAGAAAUACAAUACAUACCCCCUGCUAUGAGGAUUUCCUUGUGGGGACGAUCCUAUAAUCCCCCUCCUUUUACCUCUCUUCAUCUUCCCUGGAUUCUGGUCUCUCGUCACUCAGCCCAAGUUUUGGACAUCUAUUUCACAGUCUAUUGUUUGAUACCUAUCUCUCAGACGACAUUAUAAAUACUAACUAUGGGUAAUAACUCCUGUUGUAGUCAUGAGUGUAUCUGCCUAUAAUGAACAGAUGCAUCAUAGCUACCCUACUGUGGUGGGUAUAAGAAGAGGAACCUGAUUUGAGAGUGCUACAGAAGCUGACCAGUGUCUGAAAACAGAAUAACCCAACAUCACACAAGAGGAAGUACAGAAGCUUUGCAGGGUCCUUUCUAGAUGAGCUGCCCAUCACACAUGACUUCCCAUGACAUUUCAGCACCAUGCACAUUGCAUGCAUAUGUUACAUCCCAGAGUUCUAUGAACCAAGGAAGAAAAGAUUCGUUUUUUUUUCUUUUAUGGACAAAAUCAGCAUCUUUAACAUGACCAGAUAAAGCAAAAACAACAAAAAAUGGCAGCCCACUGUUGAUAGUGUACUAUCCAAAACAAUUCAAUUCUCCAUUCGAAUGUAGUAGCCUGGCAUGGAAAGGAGUCUCUGUUACUCAUAAAUGUUAGUAUUCAUGACAGAAUAUCUUUGGAAUUGUGGAGAUACAAAGUAUCGCAAAUACAUGUUUCAGAGUGGGUGCCUCUACUAUAAAGAACCCAGAGCUGGGGGAGAAGUCCGUAUCACUGGUAAUGAAGUCUGUUAUAAAACAUUCUCCUGAAACAUGACAAAUGCUGUUAGCCAGGGGUAGGAGUGCAGGCCUGGAAUUCGAGCAUGUAUGAAAGCUGAGGCAGGAGGAUAACCCUGUGUUUAAAAAAAAAAGUCCUUAUAUUGUAUAUGAAGCCAAGAGGUAAUAAUUACAGUGAUUCCUUUUGUAUCAAAAUCAACAACCAACUCCAUCACAUAAUUACUUAGUAGAAUGCUCAAGCAGUUACUCCCUCAAGGUGCACAUUUAGUUGAAUACUAGAGUUAAGAACUGGCAGAAGGAGGGAUUAAGGAAGGAAACAUUAUUUGAGAUAUCACAAGAUGAGGGUGUCAUGGAAAGGAAUUUAAGCCCCAGAGCAAACUUCCUCAAAAAGAUGUAUCACAGAAUGAUCACUAGUCAAAAGACUACAGAGCAGGAAAAAUCUCAGAAGCCUACCCAAAGGUAAUUUAUGGUAAAUGUUUAGAUUUUAAGAUCAUUGUAUCUGAAAAUCAAGGCUGGUUUCUGUGAAAAUAAAAAGAGUUUUUACACACAUGCACAAGCACACAUAGGGUCAAGAGUGUUAAAAAAACAACUCAGUAUCUGAGAAAAUGGUAAUUAUGAUAAACAUGUAAGGAUCAGUGACUAUGGCAUGUGUGGGUCACUUAUUGGGAAAAUGUACAUAUGGAUGAAAUUAAUGCAGUUUUCCCCCAGAAAAGUACAUCAGUGGAGAAUACCUUUUAAAAGCUAACCCAGUGGGGCUCGGAGAUGGAUCCAGGUUAAGAGCACUGGUUGCUCUUCCAGAGGACAUAGGCUUGAUCAUUGUGGCUCACAACUGACUGUAGCUCCAGUUCCAGGAGAUCUGACACCCACUUCUGGCCCCUGGGGCACCAGGCACACAUGUGGUGCACAGCCAUUCAUACAGGCAAAACACCCAUACACAUAAAAUAAUACAGUAAUUUAAACAAAAGAAGUUAACAAAGUGCUGGGGAAAUUAGACAUUCCAUCUGCAGGAGUGUGAAAUUAGAUAUUCAUCUCACAAAUAAUAAAUCAAAAUAAAAGAUCUAUCCACAUGACCCUGAAGUAUAAAACCAUUAGAAGGAUAGAGGAAACACUCCUGGACAGAGUUGGGAAAAUGGGUGUUUUCAUGGGACUCCCAAACACAGGAAACAAAAGCAAAAAUAAAUAAAUAAAUGGGGUCACAGCAAAGCAGGACUCUUCCACACAGCCAAGAGAGUGAUCCACAGAGUGGAGAGACAGCCUGGGAACUGGAGGGUGUGUUUGAAAAUUAUGUAUUGCUCCAAAUGCACAUGGAGCAACUCAGUAGCAGGACAACAUGGAGCCUGAUUACAGCAGACAAUGGGUCUGGACAGACUGAGCUCAAAAGAAGUUACAGAUGGCCAAGAAGUAUGUGAAAAAGUGUUCAACAUCAUUAACUACCAGGGGAACACAGAAUGAAGCUACAUUGAGGUAUUGCCUCACUCCUGUUAGGAUGGCUGUUACCCAAAGAUGAAGGAUAAUAAGUGGAGGUAGGGAGGGAUGGGAGCCCUGGUACACACUGGUGGAAAUGCACAUCAGCAUGGCCAUUCUGGAAGGCAGUGCAGAGCUCCUGAAAAAAUUAAAUAAAGAACUCCCACUGCUCUGGGUAUAUAUUCCAAGGACA